CCAGGCUCCAGAUUGUUCUACUCCUGAUGUCAGGAGGAAGCUGAUUUACCUUUGGAAUGAGAUAACCUCUGGGAUCCCUGAACAGUUAAAGGGCAGACGGAAAUAAGGCUUGGCAAUGAAGAUGGACAAGGAACAUAUGCCAGUGCACAUCUAUUAUAAGCCAUUUAUCCCAGACUGUGAUGCAAGUGUGCUUAAGUCUGAAAUGCAAGUGACUCGUACUUACAGGCAAAAUACAUUCCAGCUGAGGAAAAAAGGAUUUUUGUUGCUGAUUUAAUGGAGUGACAGCCUUUCAGAAGUCUUUAAAUUCACCAUUUUCACUGAUGUCACCCUGUUACCAGAAAGGAGUCCUAAUUCUGACCCCAAGAGAAGGUCCUUAAAUCUCGUGCAA
rnacentral:lncRNA from 1 species